UUAAGGUGGAGAUAUGGUUCUUCUGUUGCAGUCAUGGGUUGUUUUAAGGUGGAGAUAUGGUUCUUCUGUUGCAGUCAUGGGUUGUUUUAAGGUGGAGAUAUGGUUCUUCUGUUGUAGUCAUGGGUUGUUUUAAGGCGGAGAUAUGGUUCUUCUGUUUCAGUCAUGGGUUGUUUUAAGGUGGAGAUAUGGUUCUUCUGUUGCAGUCAUGGGUUGUUUUAAGGUGGAGAUAUGGUUCUUCUUGUUGCAGUCAUGGGUUGUUUUAAGGUGGAGAUGUGGUUCUUCUGUUGCAGUCAUGGGUUGUUUUAAGGUGGAGAUAUGGUUCUUCUGUUGCAGUCAUGGGUUGUUUUAAGGUGGAGAUGUGGUUCUUCUGUUGCAGUCAUGGGUUGUUUUAAGGUGGAGAUAUGGUUCUUCUGUUGCAGUCAUGGGUUGUUUUAAGGUGGAGAUGUGGUUCUUCUGUUGUAGUCAUGGGUUGUUUUAAGGUGGAGAUAUGGUUCUUCUUGUUGCAGUCAUGGGUUGUUUUAAGGUGGAGAUAUGGUUCUUCUGUUGCAGUCAUGGGUUGUUUUAAGGUGGAGAUAUGGUUCUUCUUGUUGCAGUCAUGGGUUGUUUUAAGGUGGAGAUGUGGUUCUUCUGUUGCAGUCAUGGGUUGUUUU